UGCGGCCGAUGGGUGGAAGGAAAAUGAUGCUGGAGUAUGUUUGCUUACAGCCUCUGCUGCACA
ensembl:miRNA